UCCGAGUUGACCCCGGCAGUCUCCCAUGAGUCCCCACCAUUACGUGCUGGCAACAUGGAACGAGGGUUGCGCUCGUUGCGGGACUUAACCCAACAUCUCACGACACGAGCUGACGACAGCCAUGCACCACCUGUGCACGGCCCUUACGGACCCGACAUCUCUGCCGGAUUUCCGUGCAUGUCAAGCCCAGGUAAGGUGGGGAUGACGUGCGAGAGUACGUCC
rnacentral:misc_RNA from 1 species